rnacentral:lncRNA from 1 species
GCUGCUUCCAGGAAAAUCCUGCCCUGAGGCCCUCUGAGCACUGCCUGAUGGCUGACGGUAGAAGAAACUGAGGAACAGUGAAGCACUGAGGAACCUGACAAAAGAGGUGACAUCGUGUGGAUAAGUGAAAGCUUAAUAGAAUAAAAGAAGAUGAACUAGAUUUAAAAGAACGAAGACUGGUAGUUUGCUUGGCUCCAUGUUUACUCCGUGGAAGACAUGUUUAUCAGGAAGGCUCAGUGUAAAUCUGGUGAAUUUCCAAAGAUAUGAUGCGUUUGGAUCCUGGAUAUGAAGCAUCUACUUUCCAUUGAGACUGUGUCACAGUUCUGCCUUUAUCCCCUGGUGUUGUCUGAAUUUGUUCUGUCUGAUUAUAGUCAUGUUUAGAGAAGGAGAACUGUUGCUUCAGAACAAAAAGGCCCCUCACCUGUUGUGUGUCAUCCUCUGCCAGCAAAUGCCAGACGCUUCCAAAGAAGGACCGAGCUCAACAGCACUGCACAAUAAGAUGUGUCAAACCCUUAGCAGCACUCAUCUCUCUGGUUCUACACUGGACUUUCUGCAAAUGGCCUUCAUUUUCCAGGUGGAAAUGGGAGCCCAGUAACUGCUGAUGUCCCUCCAAAAUGUGGGUCAGGUCAUGAAGCUCCCAGUAGCUGCUUGUUCUCUGGAAGUGAUCCUGCCCCUCUUCCCCUCCCCUCUGGCUGUCAGCACAAGGCAUCAGCUCUGUGUUCUGGCCUUGGCCUGCAGGCUGUGUUUCCACUAAACACCUCCCGGAGAGUUGCUAAGUCACUGACUAAAUGGUCUGCAUUGCCGAGCUGUCUUCCAAAGCUGGCAAUUAAUCACCCAACGAGCUGGCUAAAAUCAACACUAGCGAAGACAGAGAGUAAGAAUGACGGAACAGGGAGUAAGAAAAGAAUAUCCAGCAAAUAGAAAAAGAAGAACACAAGAGAGAGACCCUUCCUGGAGUCGCCCCCACAAUGUUCUCUGAGUCCAGUCUAAUCUUCCCUGCUUGAAACAGAGCAGCAGAGUUCAACCAAUGUGACUAAUGUCAGUGGGAGCCGUUGCCCUCACCUUCGGAGCUAUAAUUAACCGAGGAAAUAUG